rnacentral:ncRNA from 1 species
GGGCUCUUCCUCCGUAGCCUGGCGGAACGCAAACGGGUUAGGCCGCGUGUGUACCCCGGUUCGAGUCCCUGCUCGAAUCAGGCUGGAGCCGCGACUAACGUGGUAUUGGCACUCCCGUCUCGACCCGAGCCCGAUAGCCGCCAGGAUACGGCGGAGAGUCCUUUU